AUAUCCUCAGACAUCCAGGAGAUAAGUCGAGGCCUGCGACCCACAGAGGGGGUGAAAGCGGGGUGUCGAGUUGGGACUCACCGGGAGAGGCAGAUGGAUUAGAAUCCAUGGCAGAGUGCCCCAUACCGGGUGAGGGGGUUCCCACAUGAAGGAGGAGAUAAAGCCAGAUCUCAGCAGUCAAGG